AUGGUGACUUCCCGUUAUUCUUCUUUCUAUUAUAGUUACUUAUUGAACAUUAUUUGUUAUUGUUUAUUAUUCCUUUCUAGGAUGGUUACUUCCCAUUAUUAUUAUUAUUAUUAUAUUUUGACUAGGCUGGUGACUCUCCUGGACGCCUACCUUCUUGACGGAGCGCGGAGCCGCGGUGACGUCGCCUCCGAUUUGGAGAGCCCCGCUCCAAGCAGCCGGCGAGGGUCUCCUCCGUCGGCGGCGGGCGGCCAAGGCGCGACGAAGUCCUGCGGGCCGGAGGAGGGCGCGGGGGCCCUCUGUGGGGCUGCGCUGCUUCAUGGCCGAGGCCUGGGGCGCCUUGGGGGCCGGGAGCGGGGCCGGCGCCUCGGAGGAAGGGGCUGCCGGAGCCGAGGCCGCGCAAGGCCCGCUUCCCCCUCCUCCGCCUCCUCCUCCGAGUUCCUUCAGCUCCACAGCCGGCGGCGCUGCCACUCGCACCGACAUCAUCGCUCUCUCUCCUCAAGCCCACUCCCGCGACGCCGGCUGCUCCUCGCCUCACACAGCCGCCUCAGGGAGGUGCACGCAUGCGCGGACACGAGUGCCUCACGGGAAGCGAAGUCUUUGAACCAGCGCCGACAAUACAGCCCGUAUCAGGAGAAGACUCUCUUUCCCGGCAGGCACCGCGCGACUGGCGUCGGAUUGGUCGGGAGGCGUGGCUAAAGGAGGGGCAAAGCGGCUUCGUGGCGUAAGUAAAGAAUGAGUAGGAUUCGCCUCAGAGCUGCCUCGGGCAUAAUACGCAUGCGCAACGACAAAACCCCGCCCACAGGAGGGGCCAAGUAUAACCAUGGCCCGCCUCAGAGCCCUUUCAGGUAUAAUACGCAUGCGCAAAGACAAAACCCCGCCCACACGAGCGUCCAAGUAUAAUCAUGCCCUCUCCUCAGAGCCCUUUCAGGGAUAGUGCGCAUGCGCAAAGACAAAACCCCGCCCACAGGAGGGUCCAAGUAUAACCAUGGCCCGCCUCAGAGCCCUUUCAGGUAUAAUACGCAUGCGCAAAGACAAAACCCCGCCCACACGAGCGUCCAAGUAUAAUCAUGCCCUCUCCUCAGAGCCCUUUCAGGGAUAGUGCGCAUGCGCAAAGACAAAACCCCGCCCACAGGAGGGUCCAAGUAUAACCAUGGCCCGCCUCAGAGCCCUUUUCAGGUAUAAUACGCAUGCGCAAAGACAAAACCCCGCCAC
ensembl:lncRNA